AAGACAACCAGGAUGUUGGCUCAGAAGCAGCCAUACAUUCAAAGAGUGCGUAAUAGCUCACUGGUCGAGAGGUCCUGCGCCGAAAAUGUCCGGGGCUGAAACACGACACCGAAGCUGAGGAAUGUCUGAAGACAUUGGUAGAGGAGCAUUGGAUACGCAACGAAGCAGUACCGGAAGGAGCUGUGGAGUGUAUCGAAGAGAGAAUGCCGGAAUGAGUAGCGAGAGAGAGGUGGGAAUCCUCUCGGCCGAAUAUCUAAGGUUUCCAGGGUAAAGCUGAUCUGCCCUGGGUAAGUCGGGGCCUAAGGCGAGGACGAGAGUCGUAGCCGAUGGACAACAGGUUGAGAUUCCUGUACUGCAGUAAGACAGAACUGUGGGGACACGUGUGGAGAGCAUAGGCGCGGAAUGGAAAGCCGCGUGCAAGCGAGGUAGGAGUCCUGUAGGAAAAACCGCAGGGCAAUCCGAAGGCGUGAUGCGGACCGAAAUCUAGUAGGGAAGUAUGUGAGCCAUGCGUCAAGAAAAGCCGCUAUUGUUCUUAUUGUACCCGUACCGUAAACCGACACAGGUGGAUGAGGAGAGAAUCCUAAGGCCGACGGAAGAAGCAUUGUUAAGGAACUCGGCAAAAUGACCCCGUAACUUCGGGAGAAGGGGUGCCACAGAAAUGUGGCCGCAGAGAAUAGGCUCAAGCAACUGUUUAGCAAAAACACAGGUCUAUGCAAAACCGAAAGGUGAGGUAUAUGGGCUGACGCCUGCCCGGUGCUGGAAGGUUAAGAGGAGAGGUUAGCGCAAGCGAAGCUUUGAAUUGAAGCCCCAGUAAACGGCGGCCGUAACUAUAACGGUCCUAAGGUAGCGAAAUUCCUUGUCGGGUAAGUUCCGACCCGCACGAAAGGCGUAAUGAUUUGAGCGCUGUCUCGACAAUGCAUCCGGUGAAAUUGAAGUACCAGUGAAGAUGCUGGUUACCUGCGCCAGGACGGAAAGACCCCAUGGAGCUUUACUCCAGCUUGAUACUGGGAUUCGGUAUUGCAUGUACAGGAUAGGUGGGAGGCUAUGAAUCGGUAACGCCAGUUGCCGAGGAGCCGUUGUUGGGAUACCACCCUUGCAGUACUGGGUUUCUAACCAGCAGCCGUGACCCGGCUGGGGGACAAUGUCAGGUGGGGAGUUUGACUGGGGCGGUCGCCUCCGAAAGGGUAUCGGAGGCGCUCAAAGGUUCCCUCAGAAUGGUUGGAAACCAUUCGAAGAGUGCAAAGGCAGAAGGGAGCUUGACUGCGACACCGACGGGUGGAGCAGGUACGAAAGUAGGACUUAGUGAUCCGGUGGUAUUAAGUGGGAAUGCCAUCGCUCAACGGAUAAAAGCUACCCUGGGGAUAACAGGCUUAUCACUCCCAAGAGUUCACAUCGACGGAGUGGUUUGGCACCUCGAUGUCGGCUCAUCGCAUCCUGGGGCUGUAGUAGGUCCCAAGGGUUGGGCUGUUCGCCCAUUAAAGCGGUACGCGAGCUGGGUUCA
rnacentral:rRNA from 1 species